AAUGGCUGCAGUAAUUUGACUGUACAAAGGUAGCAUAAUCAUUAGUUUUUUAAUUUAAAGCUUGUAUGAAAGGUUGGACGAAAUAAAAUCUGUCUCUUUUUAAUAAUAAUUAGAAUUUAAUAUUUAAGUUAAAAAGCUUAAAUGUUUAUAAAAGACGAGAAGACCCUAUAGAGUUUUAUAAUUUUAAUUUAGUAAUUAAUUUAGAUUUAUUAAUUUUAUUUUUUUAAAAAUUAUUUUAUUGGGGUAAUGGAAAGAUUUAAUUAAUUCUUUUUUUUAAAAAUCAUUAAUAUAUGAAAAUUUUAUGAUCCAUUAAUUUUUGAAUAUAAGAUUAAAUUACCUUAGGGAUAACAGCGUAAUUUUUUUUAAGAGUUCAUAUCGAUAAAAAAGUUUGCGACCUCGAUGUUGGAUUAAAGAUUAAUUUAGGGGUAGGAGUUUAAAUUUUUGGUCUGUUCGACCAUUAAAUCUUUACAUGAUCUGAGUUCAAACCGGUGUAAGCCAGGUUGGUUUCUAUCUUUAUUAAAGUUUUAUAUUUUAGUACGAAAGGACCAAAUAUAAUAUAUAUUAAUAUUUAAUUUAUUGAAUAU
rnacentral:rRNA from 1 species